GGCAAUGGAUGGGAAUUUAGGGCAGACAUAUCUUCAUGUUCAUGUCAUGCAUAGGAAAUAAUGGCUUUCACAUCUUCCUUUCAACACAUCUCAGAAUUAUGUUGAAGAUUAUGAAAUUAAAUUUUUCUUUUUUUUUUCAUAAUUUAUUUUUUGGAUGGGAGGACCGAACAGAUGUUAAGACGAAGCUGUGAAAUGAAAUAUUCAUGAUAACAGAAUUCCAUUCCUUGUUCAAAAUUAUUAUUUUUAUGUAAUUAUUCAAUUGUUUCCUGAUAUAUUCCAUUAUUUCAACUUUAAGAUAUUAAAGCCAACUGUUUUCAUUGGAUUAUCAUAGAUUAUCUUCACCAUUUUCAUGCUGCUGAGUUUUUGGCAGAAUUGUUAGCACACCAGACAACUGGCUUAGCAGCGUUCCUUCCAGCUUUACGUUUUUUUGUGUUCAAAUUCUGCUGAGGUCAACUUUGCCUCUCAUCCUUUUGGGGGUUGAUAAAAUAAGUACCAGUUGAGCACUGGGGUCAAUGUAAUUGACCAGACCCAUUUCCCCAAAAUUUCAGGCCUUGUGCCUAUUGUAGAAAUAAUUAUUUUCACCAUUUACUGCUGGUUCAACUUGUUCAAUGAGUUAUUUUUCAAAGCAUGUUUGUAAGUUUUCGUUAACGUAUUCUCUUUAUUCCUAUCAUCCUGGUUUACUAUUUCUCUUAAGGUACUUUUGGGGAUACACAACAGUCAGGAGGAUUAAAGUUGUAAGUUACUGUCUGGCUAAGAAUGUCAUGAAUUUAAAAUCUCACUUGCUAUAACCAGUAUAUAGUAUCGUCAUUGUCAUCGUCAUCAUCAUCAUCAUCAUCAUCAUCAUCUAAUAUCUGUCUUCCAUGCUGGAAUGAGUUGGAAGUUUUGGUGGGAGCAGGCAAGCCAGAGGGCUGCACCAAGCUCCACUGUCUGUUUUGGUAUGGUUUCCACAGCUGAAUGCCCUUCCUAAUGCCAACCAUGUUACAGAGGGCACCAAGUGCUUUUUACGUGGCACCAGCACCAGCAAGGUGUCUGCUUUGGUAUGGUUUUUACAGCCGGAUGCCCUUCCAAACACCAACCACUUUACAGUGUGGACCAGAUGUGUCCUCAGAUAAAAUCAAGUACUCUGCUUACCUCAGUCUGCUCAAAUCAGAACAGGUACAACACUCAGUUUAGUUGACUGAAUGGCUGGUUGGAGGAAAAGUAUCCAUUGAAAAGGAAAUUCUUCCACAAUUCAUAUGUAAAUGACUAAAUUUGCAAAGCAAUCCUCUCCAUAACAAUGUAAAAAUACAUGUACCACCAUAGCAAUAGUAGUAGUAGUAGCUGCAAUAGUAAUAGUAGUUGUAAUAAUGAUGAUAAUAAUUGAUAAUGAAAAUGCUAAAACAAAAGCCUCAGUGGUAACAGCAGCAGCAGCAGUAGUAGCAGCAGCAGCAGCAGCAGCAGCAGUAGUAGUAGUAGUAGUAGUAGUAGUAGUAGUAGUAGUAGUAGUAGUAGUAGUAGUAGCAGCAGCAGCAAUAAUAAUCAAAACUGUGGAGAGGUAGAAACAAUAGAGUACCAUGAUAAAAUGUCUUAUAGUAUUUAGUUCUACCUGUUUACAUUUUUAGUUCAAAUCCCACCACUAUCAAUUUUGCCUUCUUUCCUUCCAGGGUCAAUAUUCAGAAACUGGGAUUGAUGAUUAAAUUGACUACACUUUUUUUUUGUUCCCUCCCCACAUAAUUUGUGGCCUUCUGCUGAUGUUAGAAAUCACCAUUAUUUUUCAUUACUUAAAUAACAACGACAACACAAAUUGCAUCAUUUUGAGACAAAUAUUUGCUGAUGACCACAUGGUCAUCUUUAAAUAAACAAAGGCAGACAAUAAUGCCCUUACACAACAGGAGACAUGUUGCAAAUCAUCUACAAUUGGGGGUGGAUAUUUACUUCCAAAUGAAAUAAGAGAAUCUCUCUCUUAAAAAUACUUGUGUAACUAUGACAAUGUUUAAGAAAAAAAAACAACAACAAUUGAAUUCUAUGAUUAUAAAAAGAAGCUUUUUAAAAAUAUAUCACAAAGAUACAUUCCAGAAGAUGCAAAACAUUAAUUGAUAUAAUUUGUUUUUAACUAUCGAACUUGAAGUAGAUAAAGCUAUAAGUAUUAACAUGUAGAAUAUUGGGUUGAAAAACUUGUAAGGUUGAAAUUAUUGGGUUGAAAAACCUCUUGGAUAGAAAAACGUCAAAGGCUACCCAUGGGACAUGAACUCACAUCUUCAGUAAAUGUGACAGAUGUUCUAUCAUGGGAUCAAAGCAAUCCUUUAAAAUUCUUUAUUCAUUACAAAAGCUUUGUUCUUAUAAAUGAGGAAUGUGUGUUGUUUACAUUGUAAGAAUUUAGAAUCUUCAAGAGAUGUGAGUUCAUGAGUUUGUUUUUAACUGUGGAACUCAAAGUAGAGAAUCUAUAAAUAAUAGAUGUUGGCGCAGCUAUGUGCAUAGGCAAAGGCACAGCUGCGUGGUAAGAAGUUUGCUUCCCAACCUUCCAACCACAUGGUCCUAGAUUCAGUCCCAUUGUGCAGUACCUUGGGCAAGUGUCUUCCACUAUAGCCUCGGGCUGACCAAAGCAUUGUGAGUGGAUUUGGUAGAUGGAAACUGUAAAGAAGCCCAUCAUAUAUAUAUAUAUAUAUAUAUAUAUUUUGUUGAUCUUACCUUCACAGACUGUGUGUGUGUGUAUGUGUUUGUCCCCCAUAAUUUAGCAGUUUGGCAAAAGAGACCAAUAGAAUAAGUACCAGGCUUUAAAAAAUAACCACCCAUGGGGUUGAUUCAUUUUACUAAAACUUCUUCAAGGCAGUGCUCCAGCAUGGCCACAGUCAAAUGACUGAAACAAGUAAAAGAGUAAAAGAGUAUUUCGCAUCUCUUGAAGUUGUUAAAUUCUUAUAACAUAGUUGUUAAUAGACGUAUUUUAAUGUACAGAAUAUGGGUAGUAUUAUAUGUAAGGUCGAUACUCAGGUAUUUCAAGCAGCUACCUCCAUGCCAAGGGUCUACUUGAGAAGAGCUGAUCGGUGGCUACACAACCAUGAGAGUAUCAAACAUACGCAACAUCAGAAAAAUAAAUAUCAUAAUACUACAUACACAAACAAAUACUAAAAGAACAUUCGCUUGUCAACGAGAGAGCCUCUAUCUGUUGCUUCCUAGAAAUGACAGCCAAAUCUCCCUCCAAUUGUUCACUACCAUCUUGUCUUUAAAAAAAAAAAAAUGAAAAACACAUCGAAUAAUGUAGUCUUAGUACACUAUAUUUGAAGAAAAGAUGGAUGGGAUGGGAUGGGAUGGUCAUGGUUGGAAUGCCUUUGAUCACAGUUUGCUCAAGGGGCUCACCAACUACAUCAAUAAAACUCUAACAAUCACAAACUUACAGAGAGAGUUCAAGAGUGAAUGACAAAUCACAAUGGAAAAUAAAAUCACUGCACAUUCAAUUCCUUCUAUGUAAGGAUAAGUAUAUAUAUAUAUAUAUAUAUAUAUAUAUAUAUAUAUAUAUAUAUAUAUAUAUAUAUAUAUAUAUAUAUAUAUAUUCUCUUUUACUCUUUUACUGGUUUCAUUUUGGGAUCACCACUACUUUAUUAUCUCCCCUUCUUCCUAGCUCUCCUGUGUGACCCCUCUGCUGGGCAGUUGCCAUAUAUCUCGUUUCAUAACUGUUAUCUCUGAAGAGCACAGGGUUACAUAAUUGGACUGUUAUCUAAGACUCCAUUGAACCCCUGGUGCGAGACCAAUUGGUAAGAUUGGCCAUAAUGGAUAUAUAACACUUUACAUUUGAAUUAAUACACACACACACACACUUGGAUGGUAAUGGAUCAAGGUAGAGAGUAAGAUUCCUUGAUCUCCUGUUAGAUUAUGUGUGUUUGUAUAUAUGUAUAUAUAUACAUGUAUAUAUAUACAUACAUACAGAAAGAUAGAUAUUACAAACACACAGUUACAUACAUACAUACCUACAUGCAUGCAUAUGUCACAUAUUUGAAUGUAAGCUUGCAUGAAAUAUUAUAUAAUCCAUUAGUUAACCAAUUUAAUUAAUUCCUUUUUGUUUAUAUAAAUAUAUAAUUAACUAGUUGAGUGAAUGAAAUCAGCCUGUGUUUCAUGACUCACCUACUACAUACACUCUUUCGUAAAAGCUUUCAAAAAUAUGAUUGUGAUAACUUGCAGAGCCAUUGAUGGAUGAUUGGCUUCAGCCUAAAAGAACUUGAGACUCUAUAAUUUCUGUUCAGAUAUCAAUAAUAUUUACUAAGAUACCAACAGAGAAUGUUUUCUGUUAAGAUGCCUAACUGUAUUCAAGUGUGAGUAUCUCUCUGCAGUUGAACAUGCCUACUGUGGUAAAAUGGUUGCUGUAGUAAUUAGGGAUACAUGUAUGAAGUAAGGCAAACAUUCUUUGGUAUUUGCAAAUAUUCAGACAAAGAGAGAAGAAAAAGAGUUAGCCAUUUUGAUAUUUUCAAAAUAUCCUAAAAAGGAUAUAGCAAAGCUUACAGCAUAUAAAGGUUUUGAUUUGCACUAAAUUAUUGAAGUAUUGAAACUAGAAAAACUUCUGAGAAAAUCUUCUAAAGAUUAUACCUCUUGGAAGUGUACAUAUUCUUAGCAUAAAACAAUAUUUGUUGGUAAAUACAAAGACAGGGAGAAAAAGAAACAGUAUAUGGUUACAAAUAAUGCAAAAUACAUACAUGAAUAGAAUACAUCAGUUCACUUUGGAUCAGUUAAUAAAUUCAUAAUAAAAAUUAUUAUAUCGCAUCAGUAACAAUAACAAUCCCAUUACUGCCACCCCUCAUUAACAUUACAACUAAUUAUUUGACUGAACUCAAUUCACAUAUUUUCAUCAUUAUUUAAUAUAAAUAAAUCAUUUGAGGUUUAGUUUGUGAAAUGUAAUUUAUAUCUUUUAUACAAUUUAUAUUUUCUGGAAUGUACAAGUUGAAGCAAAUUUGUGCAUCAUCAUUGUUAUAAAUAAUAUAAAUGUUGUAUCCAUAUCUUAAAAAUACGCACAUAUUUUUCAUGAUUUUUUUUUAUAAUGCAGAUGUUGUUAUCCUUUAAGAGAAAACUAACAUCUUUAUUAAUACGUUUAUAAUCCUCACUUAAGUAUGUGAAUGUAUAAAAUAAGUAUUAUUGGGAUAUGUAUGUAAUGAAUUUAGAGGGAAAUAUGAUUUUUUUUUCUCUCUCUACCUCCUAACAUGAAAUCAAUGAAACAUUUAAUAUUUUAAAACUGUGCCUAAUUAAGUCACAUAUCUAAAUAAAUAAACAAGCCUAAAAUUUAAUUGUUGUCAUUUUUUUAAUUAUAGUAGCAAUUAUAAGGUAAUUUUAAUUACAUUUGCAAUCGUAAAAUAAUUUUAAAAGAAAGUUUCGUCAGUUUUCAGCUAAAGAAACAUUUAAAAUUUUAAUUAAUACAGGUACAACAUUGACUUUUCCAAAACGUUUGGUUACAAAAUCAUUCCAUACUACUGAUUUUUCCAAACCAGGUGUGGUCACACUAAAUUAAACAAAUAUUAAAAUUUUCUUAAAUAAUUAAGUGAAAUACAAGAAAUGAAUUUAUUAGUGCUGUACUGUGCAAGAUACUGUGAAAUGCGGCCACCUGGUAAAUUAGUCCAGUGGCCAUGAGAAUUUGAAGUUUCUGUUUGUAACUUAUUGCAGAUUAUGAGAAGUUCUGAACCAUUGGGGAUUGGAAUGUUAGUGUUGUACCUGUAAUGAACAUUUGUUCAUAUAUAAUAAUAUGAAUUCUAAAGUUUUAAUCAAAUUCAGUUUAAUUCAAUUCUAUUCAAAAAUCACUUUACUAUUCUAAAAAUACUAAAAAAAUAUAGUUUAAAUUUUUACAACAGAUAUUAUGUUGCAUUUUUUUGCCAAAUAUGCUUUUUUGCUUGUCAAAUUUCUUAAGAAAUAUGUAUUGCUCCUGCUUUUUUGAUUCAAUUAUGGAAAAAUAUUAAAUGCAACUGUCCUGACAAGUCAAGCAAAUGUCUAAAUUUUCAGAAGCAUUAAAUUUAAGAACCAACUAAUUCUUUAGAACUAUUCAACAUUAAGGACUACAGAUGAAAAAAAAUAUGGUAGUGUGAUUUUCCAGAAUAUACAGUUUACAGCAGGUGUACUACUUUUACAGCUUAGACUGGUGAAGUUCAAAGGUCACUUUCAAAUUUGUUUAAGUUUACUUUUGGGAUAUGUGAAUAUUUUAUACAGCAAUUAUAAUAAAUUUGACUAAACACUCCUUUUCUUUUUCCAUACAUAAUGUUGUAGAAAAGUUAGUGCAUAUUAAAUACAAGAAUGCUCUUUCAAUUUUUUUAUUAGUCUAUUUUUCAAAUAUCUGUUACUGUAUGAGUUUGUUUUUUGUUAUUUUUUGUUUAUUUAAAAAAAAAUUUUUUUUUGUCCUGUGACAAAAGUGUUUGCUCAAUGUAUAUAAGUAUAAUUAUUAAUUGCUACAUCAUUUUAGAUGAUUAACCUUUUCUGCACACAAUAAUUUCUUGUACAUAGGCCAGUGAGCUGGCAGAAACGUUUGCAUGCCAGGCAAAAUGCUUAGCGGUAUUUCAUUUGUCUUUACGUUCUGAGUUCAAAUUCUGCCAAGGUCAACUUUGCCUUUCAUCCUUUCAGGGUCGAUAAAUUAAGUGCCAGUUGCGUACUGGUGUCGAUCUAAAUUUUGGGCCUUGUACCUAGAGUAAAAAAGAAUAAUUUCUUGUACAUACAUUAAUCUCUUUCUGUACUAGUUUUUAAAUGUGUGCAUGCAUAACUUUGCAUGCAGAGGGAACAGUGCAUGUCUCCUUGGAUUUCAUUGCCCAUACUUACAGAAGUGCAUUAUACACAAGUUGCAUAUUAUAUGAAAAAAAAAAAUGGAAACUAUCAGCAUUUUCAGCCUCCACCUCCUCUAUAAAUAUCACAAGUUAUUGAACAAAUAUAAAUACAUAACAUAGAAUUAGUUUAACAUUUUCAGCAGCAAUGAAUCUGUAUAAUUUGGUAGUUUUUAUCACUUGAACCAUUUCUGAUAUUAAAGUGGUCUGAUGAUCUGAACUGCUUACAGUUGUUAUUUGUUGACCCACUGAAAGCAAAUAUCUAUAACCUUGUUUCUGAAAUAUCAAUUCCAAGUAACUGUUUGUUUAAUUUUCAAGUCCAACUGCAUCUUUUCCCAAUAAAUACAAAAUCACCUAACUAUUGAGGUGUAGAUAAUUCCAACAUCAACAUCUUGACGCCACCGGUUGUUUUAAACUCUUCAAAAUCUGAAACCUAAAUUCUAUAUUUCCAUGAUUCCGGUGUUGAAAUAAUAACAAGAUUAAGUACUUGGAUAUACUAGGCCUUGAGAUUUCAAACUUUUAAGAACCAGUAGCAGUAUUUUAGUGUUUACAAACCUCAUCUUCAUACAGGUAGUUCUAACAUAAUUUGACACAUUUUAUAACCCAUCCAAUCAUUUAGUUUUGAAUUCAACAAAUUUUAUAAAGCAUCCAAUUGUUUAGCUCUGAACUUCUAUAUCUUUAUUGCUUUGAUGCAUUGUACAAUUCUGGCAUAGGGUUUGAUAGAUCUAUGUAAUGUUCAAUCCUUCCUGUUUCACCUGAUCAGUAAGAUACAAUACUCUUAGGUCAGUCUUAACUACCAUAUUUGUCGAUGUAUAAGAUAACAUUUUUUUAUAGUUUUAAAUGUAUCCCCAAAUUGCCCUGCAUCUAACAUGGCUGUAUUGUAGAUGGGAGACUGAGUGUUGUAGGCUAUGAUGCCAGAUGAGCUUGAUCUGCUUGGUACAAUAACCAUUUGAGUCAAGCAAACCGUCUCCAGCACUCUCUGUACAACCUGAGAGGGCCUGUACUCCUCUGCUGUCGUUAAGUAGAUUACUGGAACUGUGGCCAUCCAUGACUAGACUUUGGAUGAAUACUGGGGUGGUUUCCCAUUGUCUUCUCCAAGGGUGUGAGGGUUUGAAUUCAGAGACUAGAGAGCCAGAAGAAAUACUGUAGAGCAUUUCUGCUGAUGUGCCAAUAAUUCUGCCACUCUCCCACCCACAGGGAACAACUUGAAAUGAAGUGUUUUGCUCAAGAACACAACACACCACCUUGUCUAGGAAAUGAACUCACAAUCUGCCAGUCAUGAGUGCAACACCCUAUCCAUUAGGCCAUGUACUUUCACAAUAAUUGUUAGAAAUAAUAAAAUAUUGAAAACAAUUCAAAUUAUCACAGUCUAUAAAAUUGCUUACAAUAUGUUGGCAGUUAUGUGGUGAGCUCACAUCAUCUCAUAUCUCUUUCCUUGGCAUAUAUAACCCGCAUCUGAUAGGCAUCUUACAUUAUUUAAUGACUGUGCUAUCUUUAAGAAACAUUUGAUUUGUUUAUUAUCCGAAUGAAAAGACAAAAAGGAUGAUAACAGAAACACAGCUUUGGUGCACCCCCAGGUGAACGAUCACCAUAACACGAAACAUCAAAGCCAGAAAUGGGAGUUUCACAUCCUGUCUAGCAAUUCUCUUCACUAAAACAUAAACAACUAUUCAGUUGAUCUGAAAGAAGAUAAAGCUAAGAUAUUGUACUUUCAUAACAUAGUUUAUGAUAAAUAUAUUGUGAUAUAUACUUUAUGCCAGUAUCUGUCACAGCAUUGUAUAUACAUGCAAUGAAUCAUACUUUUUUUCCCUUACAAAACCACUUUAAAAAUGACCUUUAUAUCCUACUUAAUUUUAAGAAUACCAUAAAAUGGGUUUUUGUCCCCGAGAAAGCAUUUCAUAUAGACAUAAAAUGUUAAAAAGCACAAAAUAUCAGCACUAUGUGUUUAUACAAGCUUCCUCAGGACAAAUACUGCAGUUUUCUCAUCAUAAUAUUAACAUCUAUUUCCAUGCUGGCAUGGGUUCAAUGGUUUCACAGGAGCUGGUAAGGGCCAAGGACCACACCAGGCUCCAUUGUCUGCUUUGGCAUGGUUUCUAUAUCUGGAUGCCCUUCCUAACACCAGUGACUUUACAAAGUGUACUGGGUCCUUUUUACAUGGCACCAGUGCAUUUUAUUUUUAUUUUUUUUUUGGGUUUUCUUAAAGUACAUCCAUGUUAAGUAUGAUAUAUAGAUUGCUAUUUGGUAUUAAUACUGCUUCUAUUACUCCUAACUAAUGUUUCAAUAAGUGUAUGAUCAAACAUACCAAAUUUGUUUUUCCACAAAGUAUUCUUGUAAAAUAAGGUGUGUGUCUUACAUGCUGGCAAAUACAGUAGUUGUUUGCAGGUCUUCCAAAGUCUGUCUUUGAAAUAAAUAUUUCACUUUUACCAAUUACUCAUUCAACCAUAAAUCACAUGUUCUUGGGUAAAUGUCCGAAUCAAGCCAUCUCUAUGAAUAUGUCCUUGAUAUUCAAUCUUUAUUGUUAAAAUUGCAUAUCCAACAGAUAACACGCAAUACGAUCCACUGCAAUUGCUGUAGAACCUCAAAAUAUUGCUUGAAAGUUAUUGGUAUUCCAUUGAAUCUUUUACAAAAGAAAUCCAUAAAAAAAAUUCUGUAAUCCUUGAAUUAGACAUAUUUUAUUUCAAUUUUCUUCUAACAAAUAUCACAGAUAUGUAAUAUUUUGAAUUAACUGUAACUGUUUAAUGUUUUCAUGUCGCAGUCAUUCAUAAAGCCCAGGAUUAAAUAUUUAGCCAGUAGUUCCUAAGUCUCAUCCCUCAGUAAAAUGGAGGGGCAAGGUUUGGUAGGGGGUUUAAGUUUAAUAUAUCUGUAGACCUGAACAGGAUUCUUUUUGUUUUUUUACACAGUUAAAUACUAACACUAUAUUUUCUGGUUGAUGAACACAAGACCAUCAUGUAACCUCGCAUGAAAAGCACUGACCCCAAAUCUGUAUAACAAAGUGUUAGCUAUAAAUUAUACAUAUAUAAAAACACUUUUAAGAUCUCUUCAAUACCAAGCCAACCCAAUCCCUAUGUAAAAGAGAAGUGUAACGUAUAUAUAAGAACUUUUAAAUGGAAAUUCAUAAACCCUUUAAUGCAUUAAAGGAUUUAUGAAUUUCCAUCUAAAAGUUAUUAUUAUUAUUAUUAUUAUAUUAAUCUUAUGCUAUAGUGGGACCUUCUCAUAAAGUUACUCUGGAAGAUGGAAACAAUAAGCAAUGGCCAGAAUAAAUAGCAUGGAAGCUUUUUAUGAACACACUCAAAAAACAUUUUACACAAAGGAUAUAUAUAUAUAUAUAUUAAUAAUCUAGAGAAGAACCACCAUUGUGCAACUCACACGAUGAAGGAGAUCAGACACCAUCAAGAAAAGCGUACUAUACAAAAUACUAGUUUUAAAAUCUGAAAAACCCAGGGGAAAAUUUGUAAUACAUAAAAUCUAAAAAAUAUUGGACUAAAAUAUUUUUCAUUAUACAACUCAAUUUGAUAUUAGUAAAUUGUAUUUCCUUGUAAGUUCGGAUUUCAUAAUUCCCUAACAUUAUAAUAUAUAUAUAUAUAUAUAUCCACACCCACCCACAUAUGUGCAGAUAUUAUUCUAAAUAGUUAAAUUUUGUUUCUUAAAAAUUGAAAAGACCUCUGGGGUUUGUUUGUUUGUUUUUUUUUAACUUUUUUCUGCAAAUUCUAUAUUUAGAGCUAUCACUUUUGAGGACAUUCAUCACAUUGUAAUACCAAGGAGAAUGUGUAAAAUAAAAAUAUAAACAAUACUCUUUAUUUGCCGUUAUAAAAAUUUUAUGUUGUUCUUAUUGUUAUUCAAGUUUUCAACUCUCACUUCUUUCUUCCUCUGUCAUUUAAUAUGACUACAAUCAUUGUCAAAAUGUACUUCUAAGUAAGAUUGUUGAAAUAAAACAUGGAAUUAUUUAUA